rnacentral:tRNA from 1 species
GGGCGAGUGGCGGAAUUGGUAGACGCGCUAGAUUCAGGGUCUAGUGGACACAUUUUGUCCGUGGAGGUUCAAGUCCUCUCUCGCCCACCA